CCUUAUCCUGAACGGCAAUAGCCCUGCUCAUUUACCAUGGUAAUACUAACUUAACAACAUGUCUUUCCCGACAAGAACAUCUUCACGAGAAAAACAACAAACCCCAACAAACCCCUACCUUGAAGGUAGAGAGGCUAUUUACAUAGAACAUCUUCACGAAAAGAACAACAAACCCCUACUUUGAAGGUAAUGAGGUUGUUUAUGUAGAACAUCUUCACGAGAAUUUAAAGUAACUUUUUUACAGUGAAGAAGUUAGAGUAAUUUUGUGAAUGAAGAGAUAACCAGCUGAAAAUUGAA
rnacentral:lncRNA from 1 species